UGGGGAAUCUUGGACAAUGGGGCGAACCCUCGAUCCAGCCAUGCCGCGUGCGGGAAGACAGCCCUAGGGUUGUAAACCGCUUUCAGCAGGGAAGAAACUGACGGUACCUGCAGAAGAAGAUGCGGCCAACUACGUGCCAGCAGCCGCGGUGACACGUAGGCAUCAAGCGUUAUCCGGAUUUAUUGGGCGUAAAGAGCUCGUAGGCGGUUCGGUAAGUCGGGUGUGAAACUCUGGGCUCAACCCAGAGAGGCCACUCGAUACUGCUGUGACUAGAGUGCGGUAGGGGAGCGGGGAAUUCCUGGUGUAGCGGUGAAAUGCGCAGAUAUCAGGAGGAACACCAGUGGCGAAGGCGCCGCUCUGGGCCGUAACUGACGCUGAGGAGCGAAAGCAUGGGUAGCAAACAGGAUUAGAUACCCUGGUAGUCCACGCCGUAAACGAUGUCUACUAGCCG
rnacentral:rRNA from 1 species